GGCUCCCCACGAGGCAGCAAACAUUAGAGUCACUCUUUUGUGAAAUUAUGGGGAGGCUGAGUGGGCCAAGCACUUGUGUGUGUGUGUGCAUAUGUGUGUGCAUGUACGCCUGUGUGUGAGGAGACACACAGAUGUGUAUAAAGAGAGGAAUGCCGUCUGUUAGCAACUGUGGCAUUGAUUUAUAAUCACUUCCUGUAGUCACAGAAUGACUGAGUGGCGUCUUUCAAUUCUCACGAUUAAAAAAAAAAAGAGAUGGUGAAAAAAAAUCCUAAGUGCUAAAUAUCUAUGUAUUAUGUAUUAUUAUUCUUAAGAGCUUGCAAAAGCCUUAUAACAUGUAUGAUUUACAAUUAAUGGGCCUAAUUCUUCCAAUACAGAUUUCUUCCUUCCAUGACUAUAUAAUUCAAGUUAUACUGCUAAAUAUUUUAUAAUGAGAGUACAAAUUAUGAUGGCCUUUGUAACUGUUUUCAUGGGAGCAUUUAUUAUUGGGCUGAUGUUGAUGGGUUAGUAGAUUUGUGCAUAUCCGUCUCUCUUAUCCAUUGCUUUAUGAGUGGACAAGAAGUGUGGGAAUGCGUGCUGUGAACAUGUGGUCACUCUAGACUUUUCUCAAAAAUAUAAAAGACAUACAUUUAUUUCCCUGCACAAUCACACACACAAAAAAGAAAGAAAUAAAGAAAAGGUGCGGAAGACCUACUUAAAACCUGAGAGUCUCGAAUAGGAGAGGCGCUUUCAGAUCAGCCCGAGUCUUCUGCAGCGCACAGGAGCUAGUCGUACUGAAAAGAAUGAAGUUGGACUUGUCCAGGCGAGUUUCGGACAGUGCUGGGCUGCCCUGCUCUGAUCUCCUGGGUGUCUUCACCUCCUCUGGUUCCUAAGUCGGCUGCUGCACCAGCACCCAUCAAACUCUCCUGGAAGAGGAAGUGACAGCUCACCGGUAGCCUAGAAGGCCCCUGUGGGCAGAAGCAUGGACUUACUCCUCCUCAUGGAGAUGCGGCUGAGCCAUAUUUCCUUGGCACCUCUCUGGAACCUUCGACAACCACCACCUCAGACACUAACCAGACUUUAGGUCCAUUCCUUUCAUGGCUAAAAUGAGACAGUCCACAAUGUUGAUUUUAUUUGUAGGGGAUGUCAGGAUUCCAGAAAAGCAGACUUGGAAAGCAACAAAACGUUAACUUGCAGCUCACUGAGGCCCUUACACUUGUUCUGGGCACCUCUGUAUGUUAAAAGAAGUCCAAUAUCUUUAGCUGCUGGUUAUAGGUGGCCAUAUGUUUCUGCACAGAAAUGGGGCUCCCCUUGCUAGACUAAUUUUCUAAUUUUUCCUCAAGCUUCAUUGAUUCAUAUUCUUCUACUUGACCCUGACUGUCAGGACCAACAACACCAAAUAACACCAAAGUCUCUUGCUCCUGUCCUCAGAACCUCUCAGAGGCAUCCUCUGCCCUGUUGGAGCCAUUUUAUUUCAGGUUGAUCCUUAAUUAAAUUCAGCGAGAUGCAGGA
ensembl:lncRNA LINC02036 long intergenic non-protein coding RNA 2036